AGACGUGUAACACACUAAUUUCCACAUCCCUCUUCCAUAUAUUUCCUUCUGUAGUAAACAAGUGAAAAUGGCUCCAAGAGCUUUCCUUUUUCUUGCUCUAGCUUUUGCGGUUGUCCUUCUCAUUACCUCUGAAAUGGUUGCAGCUAAGGAGUUGGCUGCAGGUGAGAUUAACGAUAGUGGACGUGGUGGAUACAGCGGCGGUGGUGGCCGCGGAGGGCAUGACAAUGGCGGUGGCCGCGGAGGAAAUGACAAUGGUGGACGUGGAGGACAUGACAAUGGUGGUGGACGUGGAGGGAAUGACAAUGGCGGUGGUCGCGGAGGGCAUGACAAUGGCGGUGGCCGCGGAGGAAAUGACAAUGGUGGACGUGGAGGACAUGACAAUGGCGGUGGACGAGGAGGGAACAACAAUGGUGGAGGAAACAGAGGUUGCAGGUAUGGCUGCUGUGGUGGUGGACGUUCCUACGGAAGAGGAGGGUGCAGGUGUUGCAGCACAUUUGCAGAGGCGACUACUUACAAACAAACUCAAAACUAAGCACCGAGAAAGAACCAUCUUUUGAGUCAUGUACUAAAAAGACGUUUUACAAAGCAAUUAUGCAUUACGUAUUGUUUAUAUGUGAAAUAAUUAGCAAGACUUCUUUCGAUGGAAGUAUGCACUUAAUAUGUAUCGUAAAAUAAUAGAUCUUGUAACUCUCUAUGUCCAAAUAUAUGCCUUUUCAAUACCUGGUCGCAUUUCCGUCGACAUCACGAAUAUAUAUAU
rnacentral:lncRNA from 1 species